rnacentral:rRNA from 1 species
UACGGAGGGGCCAGCGUUGCUCGGAAUUAUUGGGCGUAAAGGGCGCGUAGGCGGCUUGGUAAGUUUGAUGUGAAAUCCCAUGGCUCAAACCAUGGAACUGCAUUCUCAUACUGCCGAGCUAGAGUCUGGGAGAGGGAAGCGGAAUUCCCGGUGGUAGCGGUGAAAUGCGUAGAUAAUCGGGAGGAACACCAGUGGCGAAGGCGGCUUCCUGGACCAGCAC